rnacentral:rRNA from 1 species
UACGUAGGGGGCGAGCGUUGUCCGGAUUUAUUGGGCGUAAAGAGCUCGUAGGCGGUUUAGCAAGUCGGGUGUGAAAACUCCGGGCUCAACUCGGAGACGCCACUCGAUACUGCUAUGACUCGAGUCCGGUAGGGGAGUGCGGAAUUCCUGGUGUAGCGGUGAAAUGCGCAGAUAUCAACAGGAAUACCGGAGGCGAAGGCGGGUAACUGGCCUAACACUGACACUCAGACCCUAAAGCGUGGGGAUCAAACAGG